rnacentral:rRNA from 1 species
UCGUUGUAGCAAUACGAUGGAAAGUCUAGUGGCGAACGGGUGCUUAACACGUGGGCAACCUGCCAGGAAGUGGGGGAUAGCUCGCCGAAAGGCGAAUUAAUACCGCAUGUGAUUAGAGAGGACAUCCUUUCGAAAUUAAAGUCGGGGCAACCUGACGCUUCUUGUGGGGCCCGCGGCCUAUCAGCUAGUUGGUGAGGUAACGGCUCACCAAGGCGUUGACGGGUAGCUGGUCUGAGAGGACGACCAGCCACACUGGGACUGAGACACGGCCCAGACACCUACGGGUGGCAGCAGUCGAGAAUUUUUGACAAUGGGGGAAACCCUGAUCGAGCGACGCCGCGUGGAGGAUGAAGGUCUUCGGAUUGUAAACUCCUGUCAUUGGGGAACAAUGCGUGAUGGUUAACUGCCGUUGCGUUGAUAGUACCCGAAGAGGAAGAGACGGCUAACUCUGUGCCAGCAGCCGCGGUAAUACAGAGGUCUCAAGCGUUGUUCGGAUUCAUUGGGCGUAAAGGGUGCGUAGGCGGCGCGGUAAGUCGGGUGUGAAAUCUCGGAGCUUAACUCCGAAACUGCAUUCGAUACUGCCGUGCUUGAGGACUGGAGAGGAGACUGGAAUUCACGGUGUAGCA